rnacentral:rRNA from 1 species
AGUGGCGGACGGGUGAGUAACGCGUGAGAAUCUGCCUUCAGGAGGGGGACAACAGUUGGAAACGGCUGCUAAUACCCCGUAAGUCUACGGAUAAAACGGUUAAUUCCGCCUGAAGAUGAGCUCGCGUCGGAUUAGCUAGUUGGUGGGGUAAAGGCUUACCAAGGCGACGAUCCGUAGCUGGUCUGAGAGGAUGAUCAGCCACACUGGGACUGAGACACGGCCCAGACUCCUACGGGAGGCAGCAGUGGGGAAUUUUCCGCAAUGGGCGAAAGCCUGACGGAGCAACGCCGCGUGCGGGAGGACGGCCUGUGGGUUGUAAACCGCUUUUCUCAGGGAAGAAGAUCUGACGGUACCUGAGGAAUCAGCAUCGGCUAACUCCGUGCCAGCAGCCGCGGUAAUACGGAGGAUGCAAGCGUUAUCCGGAUUUAUUGGGCGUAAAGCGUCCGCAGGCGGCUAAUCAAGUCUGCUGUUAAAGGCCGAGGCUUAACUUCGGUUGAGCAGUGGAAACUGAUUAGCUAGAGUGCGAUAGGGGUAGAGGGAAUUCCCAGUGUAGCGGUGAAAUGCGUAGAUAUUGGGAAGAACACCAGUGGCAAAGGCGCUCUACUGGGUCGCAACUGACGCUGAGGGACGAAAGCUAGGGGAGCGAAAGGGAUUAGAUACCCC